UUAAGCGACUAAGCGUACACGGUGGAUGCCCUGGCAGUCAGAGGCGAUGAAGGACGUGCUAAUCUGCGAAAAGCGUCGGUAAGGUGAUAUGAACCGUUAUAACCGGCGAUGUCCGAAUGGGGAAACCCAGUGCAAUUCGUUGCACUAUCGUUAACUGAAUACAUAGGUUAACGAGGCGAACCGGGGGAACUGAAACAUCUAAGUACCCCGAGGAAAAGAAAUCAACCGAGAUUCCCCCAGUAGCGGCGAGCGAACGGGGAGCAGCCCAGAGUCUGAAUCAGCUUGUGUGUUAGUGGAACGGUCUGGAAAGUCCGACGGUACAGGGUGAUAGUCCCGUACACCAAAAUGCACAGGUUGUGAACUCGAAGAGUAGGGCGGGACACGUGGUAUCCUGUCUGAAUAUGGGGGGACCAUCCUCCAAGGCUAAAUACUCCUGACUGACCGAUAGUGAACCAGUACCGUGAGGGAAAGGCGAAAAGAACCCCGGCGAGGGGAGUGAAAAAGAACCUGAAACCGUGUACGUACAAGCAGUGGGAGCACCUUCGGGUGUGACUGCGUACCUUUUGUAUAAUGGGUCAGCGACUUAUAUUCUGUAGCAAGGUUAACCGUAUAGGGGAGCCGCAGGGAAACCGAGUCUUAACUGGGCGUUAAGUUGCAGGGUAUAGACCCGAAACCCGGUGAUCUAGCCAUGGGCAGGUUGAAGGUUGGGUAACACUAACUGGAGGACCGAACCGACUAAUGUUGAAAAAUUAGCGGAUGACUUGUGGCUGGGGGUGAAAGGCCAAUCAAACCGGGAGAUAGCUGGUUCUCCCCGAAAGCUAUUUAGGUAGCGCCUCGUGAAUUCAUCUUCGGGGGUAGAGCACUGUUUCGGCUAGGGGGUCAUCCCGACUUACCAACCCGAUGCAAACUACGAAUACCGAAGAAUGUUAUCACGGGAGACACACGGCGGGUGCUAACGUCCGUCGUGAAGAGGGAAACAACCCAGACCGCCAGCUAAGGUCCCAAAGUCAUGGUUAAGUGGGAAACGAUGUGGGAAGGCACAGACAGCCAGGAUGUUGGCUUAGAAGCAGCCAUCAUUUAAAGAAAGCGUAAUAGCUCACUGGUCGAGUCGGCCUGCGCGGAAGAUGUAACGGGGCUAAACCAUGCACCGAAGCUGCGGCAGCGACACUAUGUGUUGUUGGGUAGGGGAGCGUUCUGUAAGCCUGCGAAGGUGACCUGUGAGGGUUGCUGGAGGUAUCAGAAGUGCGAAUGCUGACAUAAGUAACGAUAAAGCGGGUGAAAAGCCCGCUCGCCGGAAGACCAAGGGUUCCUGUCCAACGUUAAUCGGGGCAGGGUGAGUCGACCCCUAAGGCGAGGCCGAAAGGCGUAGUCGAUGGGAAACAGGUUAAUAUUCCUGUACUUGGUGUUACUGCGAAGGGGGGACGGAGAAGGCUAUGUUAGCCGGGCGACGGUUGUCCCGGUUUAAGCAUGUAGGCUGAUUGUCCAGGCAAAUCCGGAUAAUCAAGGCUGAGGUGUGAUGACGAGGCACUACGGUGCUGAAGUAACAAAUGCCCUGCUUCCAGGAAAAGCCUCUAAGCAUCAGGUAACAUUAAAUCGUACCCCAAACCGACACAGGUGGUCAGGUAGAGAAUACCAAGGCGCUUGAGAGAACUCGGGUGAAGGAACUAGGCAAAAUGGUGCCGUAACUUCGGGAGAAGGCACGCUGGUGUGUAGGUGAAGUCCCUGCGGAUGGAGCUGAGACCAGUCGAAGAUACCAGCUGGCUGCAACUGUUUAUUAAAAACACAGCACUGUGCAAACACGAAAGUGGACGUAUACGGUGUGACGCCUGCCCGGUGCCGGAAGGUUAAUUGAUGGGGUUAUCCGUAAGGAGAAGCUCUUGAUCGAAGCCCCGGUAAACGGCGGCCGUAACUAUAACGGUCCUAAGGUAGCGAAAUUCCUUGUCGGGUAAGUUCCGACCUGCACGAAUGGCGUAAUGAUGGCCAGGCUGUCUCCACCCGAGACUCAGUGAAAUUGAACUCGCUGUGAAGAUGCAGUGUACCCGCGGCAAGACGGAAAGACCCCGUGAACCUUUACUAUAGCUUGACACUGAACAUUGAGCCUUGAUGUGUAGGAUAGGUGGGAGGCUUUGAAGCGUGGACGCCAGUCUGCGUGGAGCCAACCUUGAAAUACCACCCUUUAAUGUUUGAUGUUCUAACGUUGGCCCCUGACCGGGGUUGCGGACAGUGUCUGGUGGGUAGUUUGACUGGGGCGGUCUCCUCCCAAAGCGUAACGGAGGAGCACGAAGGUUAGCUAAUCCUGGUCGGACAUCAGGAGGUUAGUGCAAUGGCAUAAGCUAGCUUGACUGCGAGCGUGACGGCGCGAGCAGGUGCGAAAGCAGGUCAUAGUGAUCCGGUGGUUCUGAAUGGAAGGGCCAUCGCUCAACGGAUAAAAGGUACUCCGGGGAUAACAGGCUGAUACCGCCCAAGAGUUCAUAUCGACGGCGGUGUUUGGCACCUCGAUGUCGGCUCAUCACAUCCUGGGGCUGAAGUAGGUCCCAAGGGUAUGGCUGUUCGCCAUUUAAAGUGGUACGCGAGCUGGGUUUAGAACGUCGUGAGACAGUUCGGUCCCUAUCUGCCGUGGGCGCUGGAGAAUUGAGGGGGGCUGCUCCUAGUACGAGAGGACCGGAGUGGACGCAUCACUGGUGUUCGGGUUGUCAUGCCAAUGGCACUGCCCGGUAGCUAAAUGCGGAAGAGAUAAGUGCUGAAAGCAUCUAAGCACGAAACUUGCCCCGAGAUGAGUUCUCCCUGAGACUAUAAGUCUCCUGAAGGAACGUUAAAGACGAUGACGUUGAUAGGCCGGGUGUGUAAGCGCAGCGAUGCGUUGAGCUAACCGGUACUAAUGAACCGUGAGGCUUAACCUU
rnacentral:rRNA from 1 species